CUUAUCAAGAGUGGUGGAGGGAACGGCCCUGUGAAGCCCGACAACCUGUGCGAGAGCAUAAGGUGCCAAAUCCUGCGGGAAACCGAAAGAUAAGA
rnacentral:ncRNA from 1 species